GCCGCCCCGGAGCCCCAUGAGAGCCGCGGGCCCCCUCCGCCUCCUGGCCCUGGGGGCCGCGGCCGGGCUGGCCUGGCUGGCGAUGACGUCACUGCUGGGCCCGCCCCGGGCCCCGCCCACCCUGCUGCGGCUGCUGCGGCGUGAUGAGGCCCCGCCCACGGCAGAGCCCCGCCCCCCCCGGUUCAAGUGCGGCCUCCCCCGGCCCUGCCCCCCCCGGCACUUCGCCUUCCGCCUCCUGAGCGGCGCCGCCAACGUGGUGGGACCGAGAAUCUGCCUGGAGGGGCGAGAGUUGAUGAGCAGCGUCAAGAACAACGUGGGGAGGGGCCUGAACAUCGCCCUGGUCAACGGGGUCAGCGGGGAGCUGAUCGCGGCCCAGGCCUUCGACAUGUGGGCAGGGGACGUUGAGGACCUGCUGCGUUUCCUGCGGCCGCUGCACGAGGGAACUUUGGUGCUCGUGGCCUCCUACGACGACCCCGCCACCAAGCUGACCGAGGAGAGCCGUCGGAUUUUCGGGGAGCUCGGCAGCGCCGUGGCCAAAGAUUUGGGGUUCAGGGACAGUUGGGUGUUCCUGGGGGCCAAAGGGGUGCAGGACAGGAGCCCCUUCGAGCAGCACGUCCGGAACAGCCGCGGCUCCAACAAGUACGAGGGGUGGCCGCAGGCGCUGGAGCUCGGGGGGUGCGUCCCCCAGCGCCCCCCGGGGUGACCCCGAAACCAAAGGGGGGACCCCGAAAUCGGGGGGACCCCAAAACCCACAGAGACCCCAAAAACCCCUCAGGAACCCCCAAAAAACCCCCCACAGAGACCCCAAAAACCCCUCAGAGACCCCAAAUAAAGCUCGGGGCGGUUCUGG
rnacentral:lncRNA from 1 species